AAAAUGCGAUACGUAGUGUGAAUUGCAGAAUUCCGUGAAUCAUCAAAUCUUUGAACGCAUAUUGCACUCGAGGCUUCGGCCGAGAGUACGUUUGCCUCAGCGUCGGGUUAAUAUCACUCCACCUAAACACUGGAGUGGAUCUGGCUUUCCCAGCCUUUCUUAAAACAAAGGCUGGGUCAGCUGAAGCACAGAGGUCAAUGCAGGACCCGUUAAGGGCCGCAACUGGGUAGGCUUGCUUAAUGCUCGCUUUCAUCUUAGUUGUUGGCUUGGGUUUGUGUUCGACCCACAAACAGGAACCCUCUUUAUUUUCUCGACCUGAGCUCAAGCGAGAUUACCCGCUGAACUUAAGC
rnacentral:misc_RNA from 1 species